UACGUAGGGACCGAGCGUUGUCCGGAAUCAUUGGGCGUAAAGGGCUCGUAGGCGGUUUGUCGCGUCGGGAGUGAAAUCCACUGGCUUAACUGGUGGCUUGCUUUCGAUACGGGCAGACUGGAGGUAUGCAGGGGAGAACGGAAUUCCUGGUGUAGCGGUGAAAUGCGCAGAUAUCAGGAGGAACACCGGUGGCGAAGGCGGUUCUCUGGGCAUGUCCUGACGCUGAGGAGCGAAAGUGUGGGGAGCGAACAGG
rnacentral:rRNA from 1 species